AACGAACGCUGGCGGCAGGCUUAACACAUGCAAGUCGAGCGCUCCGCUAUGGGCGCGGCAGACGGGUGAGUAACGCGUGGGAGUCUACCCAUCUCUACGGAAUAACGCAUGGAAACGUGUGCUAAUAGCGUAUACGUUCUUCGCGAGAAAGAUUUAUCGGAGAAGGAUGAGAGCGAGUUGGAUUAGCUAGUUGGGGGGGUAAAGGCCUACCAAGGCGACGUUGCAUAGAUGGUGUGAGAGGUUGAUCAGCAACACUGGGACUGAGAAACGGCCCAGACUCCUACGGGAGGCAGCAGUGGGGAAUAUUGGAAAAUGGGCGCAAGCCUGAUGCAGCCAGGCCGCGUGAGUGAUGAAGGCCCUAGGGUUGUAAAGCUCGUUCAACGGUGAAGAUAUUGACGGUAACCGGAGAAGAAGCCCCGGCUAACUUCGUGCCAGCCGCCGCGGUAAAAC
rnacentral:rRNA from 1 species